CCUACGGGAGGCAGCAGUGGGGAAUAUUGGACAAUGGGCGAAAGCCUGAUCCAGCAAUGCCGCGUGAGUGAAGAAGGCCUUCGGGUUGUAAAGCUCUUUUACCCGGGAAGAUAAUGACCGUACCGGGAGAAUAAGCCCCGGCUAACUCCGUGCCAGCAGCCGCGGUAAUACGGAGGGGGCUAGCGUUGUUCGGAAUCACUGGGCGUAAAGCGUGCGUAGGCGGCCAUUCAAGUCAGAGGUGAAAGCCCAGGGCUCAACCCUGGAACUGCCUUUGAAACUAGGUGGCUGGAACACGGGAGAGGUGAGUGGAAUUCCGAGUGUAGAGGUGAAAUUCGUAGAUAUUCGGAAGAACACCAGUGGCGAAGGCGGCUCACUGGACCGUUGUUGACGCUGAGGCACGAAAGCGUGGGGAGCAAACAGGAUUAGAUACCCUGGUAGUCCACGCCGUAAACGAUGAUAACUAGCUGUUGGGGCUCUUUGAGCUCCAGUGGCGCAGCUAACGCAUUAAGUUAUCCGCCUGGGGAGUACGGCCGCAAGGUUAAAACGUUAAAUGAAUUGACGG
rnacentral:rRNA from 1 species